UUAAAAUGCUCCUUACCGUAGCACCAACGAGCUGUGUGGUUUUCACAGUAGGUUUUGGUCUGCCCUCUGCUUUCACUCGUAGUCAGUUCACGAUAGCUGUCCAAUGAAGGCGGUGACUGGCCAGAGUGUUGUGUCAAGUGACUGAAGUGCAAAAUUCUACCCUAUCGGUCACUGGUUCACGGGUGGGACUUAUCUGCCAUAAGGAUCAAUUGAAACGGAAAAUAAACACGAGCCGCCUGGGGUUCACUCGAUUUACAUUGAAGUCAAUGGGAAUAGUGGCGCUGUUGUGACUCACAUAAUUGAUUUCAGGAAAACAGCUCGUCUUCCCCGAGAUGAAGCCUCGAACGUCACGCGCCACGUCAUUUCGCCUAUGUGAUACGGAGCUUCGCUGGGGGAGGAGCCGAGGUACUCGACACACGCCCCGAUGCCUCGACGCAAACCAUAACAUCACUACCUGAGAGUACACCCGUCCGCCUGUAGACAAUAAAGUGUCAUUUACAAUUCAUAAACGCACUGUUUACAAUUAUUCCAACGAUAUUCUGUUGUUUAAGAAAGAAAAAAGGAUUCUUUCUGUGGCGGGUCGAUAACUCGGAUCUCCAGGUUUCCUUUCGUUAUGCUUCCAUCACGCUGAUUUCAGAUUCGCCUGUCAUCGUGUGACCGGUGGUCUACAGUGUUUAUUAAAGUCUAGACAUCUCCGAAUGCUUUGCAACCGUUCUCCACGGGAACAAGCGUGGGCAUCGUUCAGCCCACCUGAACGUGUACAACUCAUACUUACCUGGCAAGGGAGAUACCACGAUCAAGAAGGUGGUUCACCCAUAGCGAGGCUCAGCCAUUGCACUGAGGCUGUUGCUGACCCGUGCGAAUUCCCCAAAUGUGGGAAUCUCGAUUGCAUAAUUUCUGGUAGUGGGGGACUGCGUUCGCGCUCUCCCCUGAUCAUGUUGUUCUAAAGAAAUAAUAGCUAUGAAUGGCUUCAUCGCGCUGACUAAUGCCGUCCAUCCCACGUUUUGCAACGCUACGUUUAUUCAAAAGAUCACGCAAACGAUCACGCCCAAGCAGUGUAAUGCAUUACAUUCAGAUGUGGAACUCUGAGUCUGGAAUAACGUAGUCAUUCAUUCAUUCAUUUCUUUCAUUCAUUAUGGAUCAAAUUAUUGUUUCUGUACAAGUCCCGUCUCUGGCCACAGCAGCGCUCCCACUCAUUAUGGGUUCCUCCUGUAUAAAAGUUAGUAUGGACAAGACAAUAAUUGCUUACGGCCAUACCACCCUGAGCACGCGCGAUCUCGUCUGAUCUCGGAGGCUAAGCAGGGUCAACUCGAGCUCAUUGGCUGCAAUAGAGUUCCGGGUGUUGACGUUGUUGGGGCGGGGAAAACGUGGGCACCACCAUUUUGGCAGUAUUCGGCAGACUGGCGCUCUUGUGGUGGAGCAGACAUGGUCGAUAACUGUUGUGCACCAGGUUGCACAAAUAAACGAGGCAAAAAUAAAUGUACGUCGUUCUACCGCAUUCCUAAAGAUGCGGAGAGGCGAGCUAAGUGGAUCAGCGCCAUUAAAAGAGCCAGGAGCAAGCAAAAAAAGACUGAAAAAUGGGACCCCCCGGCUGUUGGAUUCCGCUUGUGCAGCGAUCACUUCAUAUCAGGGCCCGACAGGACCAAGAGGUGAAAGGGUAAGCCACUAUCAAACUCAUUAAUUAUGACAAGAUGCAUGACAAUGCCAUGUUUGCUGGAUAGAAACUUUCAUGAAGUUUAUCGGGUUGAUAUAUGAUGACGCCGAUUGACCUUUCAACUUGAAUAGGCCACACCCCUUUGUUUACAUCAGGCACAGCCUAAAGCCCUCCGCCGUGAUAAUAUAACAAAUAAUAAUGGACCAAUCUCUGCUGCACGACGGCUGAAAAUAACCUGAACUACAAAUAUUUGUUGUAUAUUAUUUUUUUCUGACUUUGGCUCACAUAUCCAGAACAAAUUCAUAUUUAUCUUUUCUAAACUUUAUUAACAAUAAUAAAACAAUUUAGUAAAAGGACAUGACGCUUUUAUUCAAGUUGAGACCAAACCGAGCUCCACAGCCGAACAGAGCUGGGACUCUGGCAGCGUCCCAGCAGACACGGUGGCUGUGUGUCAAUCAGUGGUAAUCAACGGAGACUAACCCAAGGCCUUCCUCCACAGGGACCCCAGGGCCCUGACGGGAGGGACGGCAGACCUGGCAACCCCGGCCCUGCUGGGCCCCCAGGACCCCCUGGCCUCGGCAGAAACUUUGCUGCUCAGUAUGAUCACAACAAAGGCGCUGAUAUUGGUCCCGGCCCCAUGGGAAUGAUGGGAAUGAAAGGCCAACCUGGACUUCCCGGCCCCCCUGGAGAAGGAGUGAUAAUCCCUUGAGUCCGGACUUUGUUCCAUCUCUUUUCAACUACGUUCCAUCUCCAGAGAAGAGGAAAAGAAAAAUGAGACUGGAGGUUUUCAACAGACGACAGGGAGCAAAGCUACAGAAGAUGGAGCAGACAAAGCUAUCUGCGAAAGCCAUCCCUCCCAGAGCAUCAACAGAUUGUCCCCAAGACUGCAACAAGGAUCCUACUGCAGAGCAAAGUCCCACCACAGAGCCUUUGAAGGAAUCUACCCAUGAAGAACCUGGAAACGAUGUCCAGCCUGUUCUCCAUGAGGAGGAUCCAGCAACCCCACCAUGCACCACUGAAACCUGUGGUAAACGCGUCCAAUCUCUUGAGCAAGAAUGCCAAGCUCUGAGGACUGAAAAUAUGUUGUUGAAGGAAAAAAUGAAUAGGACUACACUGAAUGAGAUGAGCUUGCAUAACGAUGAUAAAAGGGUUCAUACUCUCACUGGUUUAUCAGCAUUCUCCAUUCUCAUGACAAUUUUUCAUAUUGUGGCUCCUUUUCUCCAACUUAAAUCUAGUUUAACAUGUUUUCAGCAGUACAUGUUAACUUUAAUUAAGCUUAGAAUGAACUUGUCCUUUGAGUUUUGGGCUUUUCAUUUUGACAUUGACUCAACCACUGUUUCAAAGCUCUUCAAACACUGCAUUAGUGUGAUGCAUUGUAGACUGGUGCCAAGUCUGGUGUUGUGGCCUGACAGAAUACUUAAGAAAAUCUCUUCCAUAUGCAUUUCGAAACCGUAGCUUUGAAAAGACAGUUUGCAUUAUAGAUUGUUUUGAAAUAUUUCUAGAGAAACCCAGUAGAUUGCUAGCCAGUGCUCAGUGUUACUCAUCAUACAAAUCACACCACACAAUGAAAUAUUUAAUUGCAAUUUGCCCUCGAGGUUCCAUUUGUUUCAUUUCCGCUGGAUGGGGAGGUCGCACAAGUGAUACGUUUAUCACAGAACAAAGUCACUUUUUAUCUCAUUUGCUCCCAGGGGACGUAGUUUUAGCGGACAGAGGUUGUCUGGUUAAAGAGUCCAUUGAGAGAUGCCAAGCUGAAUUAAAAAUUCCAGCAUUUACUCGUGGAUAGAAGCAGUUAGAUCCUGCUGACUUGGAGAACACCAGACGUCUAGCCUCUCUUAGGAUACAUAUUGAAAGAGUGAUAGGAGUUCUCCGUCAAAAGUACACAGUCUUGCAAAGCACUGUCCCCAUAUGUUUCACGGACAUAGACAGGGAAAAUGAUGUGACCUACCUUGACAAGAUGGUGAGCGUGUGUUGUGCACUUACAAAUGUGUCUGAAUCUCUGGUGUCCUUCCAGUGAUGGGGAUGUACAGUAAAUUGAACUGAUGUGACUGGCUACAGAUGUGCUCAACCAGCAAAUAAACCUUUGUGACUCACACUUCUUGCUUGCUUGUCGUGACAUUAUUUUUAAUCACUCGCUAUUCUGAUGCGAUCACAUCGUUUCUCUUUGCAGAUCAAGCUGCACAUCCACCCAUUCUAACUUGAGUUCCACCCAAACAGAUAUUUGUUCUGGUGUGUUUUAUAUGAAUGACCCACCCAUGUUUCAUAUCCCUGAUUGCUACAGAUAUCUAAUACAAAUUAUGGGGAAGAGAACAAUAUUGGUUUAACAACUGUUUAUUCAUAAAUAACAGUACAGUAUCAGCUACUACAAACAACUCAUUUCACAGUCUCCUCACUAAGGUUUUCUUCUUUGGGCAUUGAUCACUUUUCGGCAGAUGGGACAUACCCACUGUUUUGGGACCCUUUUCAUGCGAAGGCAGGUCUGGUGAAACUUUUUAACUGAACAAAAACCUGACGCACAGACCACCAUGUUCCCUGCUUCUGGCUCAGGGCAGUAGCACCACUGUUGUUGACUAUGAUCAGCAAAUGCUGCUGCUGCUGGUGCUGGUUUCUGUGCAGAAAAACACUUUACUGCCUAAUUAACAGAAAGGUCCUUUGCAGAAAAUGGGCACUUAAUUUCUAUGACACCUGAACCACAGCAGCUACAGGAAACGUAUCCAUCAGGUGAGGCCCCAAUGCAGGGGUGAAAUCCUGAAUCCAGCUGUUCCUACCAUGACAUUCGUGUGUGAGAGGCGAUGACGCAUUUCAUAGUAUUUCCUUGCCAAGUCCUCGUGUUGACAUCCCCAACUGAAGAAAACAACAAUAACAUUAGUUUUGGACAAUAGUAAUGCCACCCCACAUUGGUACCGCCCUGCUCUUUCAAAAGGAUACUACCUACUUGGUUUAACACUCCUGCUUUUUAAGAAUAGUACUUCCUGGAUUUACCCUCCCUGUUAUUGUACCUACUUCACAUUCAUUUGAUUGUACACCAUCUGGAAAUGACCAUUUUACACACAGGAGCAGUUACACACUGCAUGCCCUGUUUUACCCUAAUCCUUCUAUGCUCAUGAAUACCUGGUAGCCUCACUGGUGAAACUAUGGGACUUUUGGGUAGCAUAUUUGUCUUAUUAGAGACACUGCAGGCUUUCUGACGUCUGUCUUUGUGGCUGCUCUGAAGGUAGUUAUAUCUAUCCGGAUACUGCAGAUCUGGGACGUCUUCUUCAGCGGAGAUGCUUUUGAAAAGCACCCCGGGGCCAUUGUAUGGGUCGGUAAUAUUUAACCUAUUUAAUUUUUGCCUAUAGAGCUCGAUGUCAUGCGAAUUAAAGUGAGAUGAGUACUCCGAUGGCUUGAAAGCUUCGGCGCCGGGUCAUUUUAAGGAAGAUCUUUAAGGGCGGCGCUUGAUUUUACUGACAAAAUGGCGUUCCGAACACCGGUGGUCACGUGGGUUCAGGAACUCGAUAUCAUGCAAGCACUUUGUUUUCUUUUUAUUUUGUUCUACACCACAAUUGCAUGCUUUAAACAUGACACGGGGCCAACAGUAAAGGCGUUUUUUCAGCCAACUCCCUGUUAGUGUUGGGAAAAAUAACCUGCUGAGUACAUCACAUGUACAUUACAAAUAUAGCUAACUCCUACCCUAGCCUGAUGAGCACAUCACAUGGCAGUCACAUUACAAUAUAGUCAACUUUUAACACAUAACACAAACAUGAUAAUAUAGUCAGGUCAAGGCCAGAGCCAAGGCCCCAUUUCCCAAGCAGGCAAAUGGUAAACACUCAGACAAUGCAACAGUCAUCCUCAAGAACGGGAGAGCCACAUUAAUUCAUCACACAAGAGAUACUUCGAGCACACAAGAGAUACUUCGAGAACAAAGGAGACACUGAGGAGCUCUUCCCCGUUAGUAGGAACACAAGAAGAUACACUUGCAUACACCAGGGCCUGGGAGCCAAGGUCAAGCAAAAACACACAGAACCACACACACCUCAAACGCACACACCUCAUCGAGAGGAGGAUACAGCAUAAAACUGUAUCACACAGAGACUCUUCAUCUUCUUCUGAAGCAGACCUUCCACGGAGGCGAAGCUCCGGACGAACCAUCAGCGCUGAUUAGGGACUUAGACAUAUUCGAUUUCUCACGCUUUAUGACUCUGUAUAACCGUUGCCACUUUACUUAAUAAA